UACGUAGGGUGCGAGCGUUGUCCGGAAUUAUUGGGCGUAAAGAGCUCGUAGGCGGUGUGUCGCGUCGGCCGUGAAAACCUGCAGCUUAACUGUGGGCUUGCGGUCGAUACGGGCAUCACUGGAGUUCGGGCAGGGGAGACUGGAAUUCCUGGUGUAGCGGUGAAAAUGCGCAGAUAUCAGGAGGAACACCGGUGGCGAAGGCGGG
rnacentral:rRNA from 1 species